rnacentral:rRNA from 1 species
CAGCAGUAGCCGCGGUAAUACGUAGGGUGCGAGCGUUAAUCGGAAUUACUGGGCGUAAAGCGUGCGCAGGCGGUUGUGUAAGACAGGUGUGAAAUCCCCGGGCUUAACCUGGGAACUGCGCUUGUGACUGCACAGCUAGAGUAUGGCAGAGGGGGGUGGAAUUCCACGUGUAGCAGUGAAAUGCGUAGAGAUGUGGAGGAACACCGAUGGCGAAGGCAGCCCCCUGGGCCAAUACUGACGCUCAUGCACGAAAGCGUGGGGAGCAAACAGGAUUAGAUACCCGCGUAGUCCCUGUCUCUUAUAC